rnacentral:lncRNA from 1 species
AUCUUCAACCCUAAGAGAAUAAGAUGCAGCCGCCACUACCCAUGGAACGCACGCAUCGACCGCCACCUCUGUCUUCUUCUUCUUUCGACCAAACGAGGUCGUCGCCUGCUGCGUCGCCGACGAGCACCACCUCUUUGCUGCUGCUGGUGACGUAAGGGAAGCCGGAAGAGCCACCGAGAUCGGUGACUUAAGUUGCAUCGUCACUGUGUGGGUUCUGCGCGACCUGGAGGUUCUUGGUAAGGUCAUAUGUCGCUUCUCUUCUCAUUUCCUCGUUCGUUUUGGUGUUUUGACGCCGUGUUUGGAGGCUGCGAACACCAUCGGCCCUUGAGCCACCGUUUUCUUCCCUUUUUCUGCUACCAGCCACCAUAGGAGGUGGCUGUGUAUGUUUAUUUAUUAUUUAUGAAGAUUCAAGUGUGAUUUCCUUGGACAGGGACCGCCACCACCAUUGGGAAUGGUGGCCGCCGCCGCUGCUGUUGCUUUUCUGGUGCUCCUGCCGCCGCCGUAGGCCACCAAGGGGUGGCUGGAGUUGCUUUGCGACCUCAUAGCGGGUGUGUGUGUGUGUGUUUGUAAUCUUGUUAGUGUGUGUUUGUAUAGCCGGAAAAGCAANGACCUCAUAGUGGGUGUGUGUGUGUGUGUUUG